GCCACAGCAGGAAGCUGACGUCUCUUGGGGAACCAAGAGGGGGUCUGGAAGGAGGUGGCCUCUGAGGAGAUCUUGAAAGAUGAGCAUCGGCUCCCAUAAUAACAGGGGAGAGCAUUUCUGAUGAAAGGAGGCCUCUGUGUCAGAGACAGGAAGAGGUACGGCAGGUAGAGGAGACUGGAGCCAGACUGUGAAGGGCGUUUGGGUAAUUUUAAGCUAAUUAAUCUUUAUUGAUUUUUUAUAGUGUUUAAGCCCUGUGGGCAAAGAAGGUGAUGAGAUGCUCAAGAACAGGGUGCUUCUGGAUCUGAUUCUGAAGCCCUGGUUUUUUCCAGCAGAGCAACACCGAGCUCUGAAAGCCUUCUAAGAGCAGGAAGGCCAUCUUGGGUCACGGCGUGAUGAAGCAACACCCCAACAUGUGCGUGUCUUCGCUAGGAAUAGACUGCUGGAGACGAAGCAGAGGCAGCCAGAGAUUGCCAGCUGACAAGACCACCGUGGGGGAAGAAACCAGAAACAGGAAUGUAAAUAAGCCGGUGAUAAUUUUCCUCUUCACUUCUAACAGGCCUCUAAGAAGGAAGAGACAAAGAUUAACACCCCUCUGUCAGCCCGGUACCUCAUAGAGUGCCUUGAAUAGAGUAGCCAUUCAAUAAAUGUUUGCUAGAUGAAAUUCACAUAAGAUCCUGAAAUAUCUUUAAUUAAUAAAUUAUAAACUCAGAAAGAGAAAGUCCCCGUGUUUUAUUAACUUAUGAUGGAUUUCAUGGCUCAGUAAUCUUUAUUCCUUGGUCUCUGUGGGUCUCCUUGGUCACCCCUUUUGAGCCUUCUGUCAAAUAGAGUUGAUUGUGUCACUUUCUUUAUUAUAGGAAAAAGGACAGGACAUGGGGAUAGAGAGGCGUGGGAGUCAAAUGGUCAAUCAAAGAAAGCAUUUGUUAGAAGCAGAG
rnacentral:lncRNA from 1 species